rnacentral:rRNA from 1 species
UACGAAGGGGGCUAGCGUUGCUCGGAAUCACUGGGCGUAAAGGGCGCGUAGGCGGCCCUGUUGGUCGGGCGUGAAAUCCCCGGGCUCAACCCGGGGGCUGCGCCCGAAACGGCGGGGCUGGAGGCAAGGAGAGGCUCGCGGAAUUCCCAGUGUAGAGGUGAAAUUCGUAGAUAUUGGGAAGAACACCGGUGGCGAAGGCGGCGAGCUGGCCUUGAACUGACGGCUGAGGCGCGACAGCGUGGGGAGCAAACAGG